ACGGAAGGCAGCAGUGGGGGAUAUUGCACAAUGGGCGAAAGCCUGAUGCAGCAACGCCGCGUGGGGGAAGACGGUCUUCGGAUUGUAAACCUCUGUCCUUGGUGACGAAGAAUGACGGUAGCCGAGGAGGAAGCCACGGCUAACUACGUGCCAGCAGCCGCGGUAAUACGUAGGUGGUAAGCGUUGUCCGGAUUUACUGGGUGUAAAGGGAGCGCAGGCGGGAAAGCAAGUCAGCUGUGAAAUAUAUAGGCUUAACCUGUAGACUGCAGUUGAAACUGUUUUUCUUGAGUGGAGUAGAGGUAAGCGGAAUUCCGAGUGUAGCGGUGAAAUGCGUAGAGAUUCGGAGGAACACCAGUGGCGAAGGCGGCUUACUGGGCUCUAACUGACGCUGAGGCUCGAAAGUGUGGGGAGCAAACAGGAUUAGAUACCCUGGUA
rnacentral:rRNA from 1 species